rnacentral:rRNA from 1 species
AGUCACUGCUAUUGGGGUUCGGCUAAGCCAUGCGAGCGGAGGGCGCGGUCGCAAGAUCGUGGCCCCGCACACGGCUCAGUAACACGUAGUCAACCUACCCUUGGGACGGGGACAACGCCGGGAAACUGGCGAUAAUCCCCGAUAGGUGAGGGAUGCUGGGAUGCUUCUUCGCUCAAAGCUCCGGCGCCCGAGGAUGGGACUGCGGCCUAUCAGGCUGUUGGUGGUGUGACGGACCACCAAACCUACGACGGGUACGGGCGAUGGGAGUCGGAGCCUGGAGAUGGGGACUGAGACAAGGCCCCAGGCCCUACGGGGCGCAGCAGGCGCGAAAACUCCGCAAUGCGCGCAAGCGUGACGGGGGAACCCCAAGUGCCGUUGGUCUUUUGAUCGACGGCUUUUCGGAAGUCCAAUAAGCUUCCGGAAUAAGGGCUGGGUAAGACUGGUGCCAGCCGCCGCGGUAACACCAGCAGCCCAAGUGGUGGCCGCGAUUAUUGGGCCUAAAGCGCUCGUAGCCGGAUCAGCAAGUCCUUUGUGAAAUCGGGCCGCCCAACGGUUCGGCGUGCAAAGGAUACUGUUGGUCUUGAGACCGGGAGAGGUCGGAGGUACUCUUGGGGUAGCGGUGAAAUGCUGUAAUCCUGGGGGGACCACCAGUGGCGAAGGCGUCCGACCAGAACGGAUCUGACGGUGAGGGGCGAAGGCUAGGGGAGCGAACGGGAUUAGAUACCCCGGUAGUCCUAGCUGUAAAGCAUGCGGGCCAGGUGUCUAGCGCUCCUUGAGGGCGCUAUGUGCCGGAGGGAAGCCGUUGAGCCCGCCGCCUGGGAAGUACGGCCGCAAGGCUGAAACUUAAAGAAAUUGGCGGGGGAGCACCACAAGGGGUGGAACCUGCGGUU